GAUGAACGCUAGCUACAGGCUUAACACAUGCAAGUCGAGGGGCAGCAUUUUAGUUUGCUUGCAAACUAAAGAUGGCGACCGGCGCACGGGUGAGUAACACGUAUCCAACCUGCCGAUAACUCGGGGAUAGCCUUUCGAAAGAAAGAUUAAUAUCCGAUAGUAUAUUAAAACCGCAUGGUUUUACUAUUAAAGAAUUUCGGUUAUCGAUGGGGAUGCGUUCCAUUAGUUUGUUGGCGGGGUAACGGCCCACCAAGACUACGAUGGAUAGGGGUUCUGAGAGGAAGGUCCCCCACAUUGGAACUGAGACACGGUCCAAACUCCUACGGGAGGCAGCAGUGAGGAAUAUUGGUCAAUGGACGAGAGUCUGAACCAGCCAAGUAGCGUGAAGGAUGACUGCCCUAUGGGUUGUAAACUUCUUUUAUAUGGGAAUAAAGUAUUCCACGUGUGGGAUUUUGUAUGUACCAUAUGAAUAAGGAUCGGCUAACUCCGUGCCAGCAGCCGCGGUAAUACGGAGGAUCCGAGCGUUAUCCGGAUUUAUUGGGUUUAAAGGGAGCGUAGGUGGAUUGUUAAGUCAGUUGUGAAAGUUUGCGGCUCAACCGUAAAAUUGCAGUUGAAACUGGCAGUCUUGAGUACAGUAGAGGUGGGCGGAAUUCGUGGUGUAGCGGUGAAAUGCUUAGAUAUCACGAAGAACUCCGAUUGCGAAGGCAGCUCACUAGACUGCAACUGACACUGAUGCUCGAAAGUGUGGGUAUCAAACAGGAUUAGAUACCCUGGUAGUCCACACAGUAAACGAUGAAUACUCGCUGUUUGCGAUAUACAGUAAGCGGCCAAGCGAAAGCAUUAAGUAUUCCACCUGGGGAGUACGCCGGCAACGGUGAAACUCAAAGGAAUUGACGGGGGCCCGCACAAGCGGAGGAACAUGUGGUUUAAUUCGAUGAUACGCGAGGAACCUUACCCGGGCUUAAAUUGCAUUUGAAUAAUCUGGAAACAGGUUAGCCGCAAGGCAAAUGUGAAGGUGCUGCAUGGUUGUCGUCAGCUCGUGCCGUGAGGUGUCGGCUUAAGUGCCAUAACGAGCGCAACCCUUAUCUUUAGUUACUAACAGGUCAUGCUGAGGACUCUAGAGAGACUGCCGUCGUAAGAUGUGAGGAAGGUGGGGAUGACGUCAAAUCAGCACGGCCCUUACGUCCGGGGCUACACACGUGUUACAAUGGGGGGUACAGAAGGCAGCUACCUGGCGACAGGAUGCUAAUCCCAAAAACCUCUCUCAGUUCGGAUCGAAGUCUGCAACCCGACUUCGUGAAGCUGGAUUCGCUAGUAAUCGCGCAUCAGCCAUGGCGCGGUGAAUACGUUCCCGGGCCUUGUACACACCGCCCGUCAAGCCAUGAAAGCCGGGGGUACCUGAAGUACGUAACCGCAAGGAGCGUCCUAGGGUAAAACUGGUAAUUGGG
rnacentral:rRNA from 1 species